rnacentral:rRNA from 1 species
AUUUAAUAAAAUAAAAUUUAAAAGAAAAAUUUAUUAUACAUUUUUUAAAAAAUAGUAUUAUAGAAAGAAAAGAAUUUUUUUUUGACUGAAAAGGAUUUUGAAAAAUUUUAAAUAGUUAAAAUAUAAAAAGUAGUUAAACGUACCUUUUGCAUAAGGGUUUUUUAAAAAAAAUUAAAAAUUUAUUUUUCCCGAAAUUAUUUUGAACUAUUUAUAUAAAAAUUUAAUUUAUUGCAACAAAUUAAAAAAUAUUUAAAUAGUAAUGAAAUUUUAUUCAAAAAUAAGGAUAUCUGGUUAAUAAAAGAAGACUUUAUGUCUAUCUAUAAAUUUUUUAUUUUUAAAUAAAAAUAUAGAUAAAUUAAGUAGGGAUAAGCUUACUUAAUUAAAUUAUAAUUUAUUUAUUUUAAAAAGUAAGGAAUAAUAUUGUCUUGUUUUGUAAUAAAAAGUUUAUAAAAACUAAAAGAAGUGUUAAUUUUAAAGUUAAUUAAUUAAAUUUAAAAUUAAAAAAAUAAUGAAAAAAUUAGUAUAAGAUUAAAAUAAAAAGUUGUAAUUAAAUUAUAAAAAUUAUUUUAAAUUAUUUAUAAGGAAUUCGGCAAAAUUUAUUAAAUUGGCUGUUUAUCAAAAACAUUUCAUUUUGUUUUUAUAAAAUGUAAUAUCUGCUCAAUGAAAAUUUUUUAAUUGCUGUGGUAUUUUGACUAUACGAAGGUAUUGAAAUAAGGCUUUAAAUGAGUGCUAAGAGAAUGAUAAAACAAUUUAAAUCUGUCUUUUAAAUAAAAAUAAAAGUUAACUUUUUAUGUUCAGAGGCAAAAAUAAUUUUAAAGGACAAGAAGACCCUAUGAAUUUUAUUUUUAUAUUUAUUAUUUAAUAUAAUUAUAAAAAUUAGUUGGGGCGACUGAAAAAGAAAAGGUAUCUUUUUAUUAAUUGGUUAUAAAUUUGAUCCAAUAAUAUUGAUAAAAUGAAUAAAAUACUCUAGGGAUAACAGCGUUAUAAUUUUGGAAAGUUCAUAUUGAUAAAAUUAAUUGCGACCUCGAUGUUGGAUUAGGAUACUUAUUUAAUGAAGAAGUUAAAUUAAGGAGUUUGUUCAACUUUUAAAUUCCUACAUGAUCUGAGUUCAGACCGGCGUGAGCCAGGUUGGUUUCUAUCUUUAUUAAUAUUUUUUUUUAAUUAGUACGAAAGGAAUUUUAAAAAGUAAAUAUUUAUCAAAAUAAA